rnacentral:tRNA from 1 species
GCCCUGGUGGCUCAGACGGUAAAGUGUCUGUCUGCAAUGCAGGAGACCCGGGUUCAAUCCCUGGGUUGGGAA